UGUCACUUUAAAUUUUUCUUGAGGACGUUACAUGUUUCAUCAUGUUUCUUGAGCAUGUUAGGUUAUGCAGUAGGUGGAGUAACGCAAAGGUAAUUAGAUCAGCAGAGAGAAAAGAGCGAAGAUUCAUGUUCGUAUACAGUCUAUAUACAGUACAUAUAUGUGUUUUCCAGUGAGCAGAGACUAAAUUCUGCUUAAUUUCAUCUUAGUUCCCUUUGGUAAAGCGGGCCGAGGAGAUCAAGAUCCAUUAAUGAGGUGCUGGAUGUGUGAGAAGACACAAGAUCGAAGCUGUAAAUUUAUUUCGCUGUGUACUAUACUGUAGGUAGUGUGUAGUCUGCUGUGUGUACAAACCCCAGUAACCAUCUUUUCACUUUGCUGCCAUCCGGUAAGCGCUUCCGAAGCCUAAUGGCAAAAACCGAGAGACUUGGGAGGAGUUUCUUCCCCAGGCCAUAAGGCUCCUAAACUCAAAACCAGCCUCUUAACAUCUUCAUGUCUCCACUUAAUAUUCACUUUAUCAGUAAGAUAUUCAUCAUUCACUACCUCACGUUGACAUACUGUGUCAACCUGUUUACACAUUCCUGUGUAUCUUAAUAUUUAAGACUACAGUAUAAUGCACAUUGCCUCUUGUACAUCCCUGUGUAUCUCUAUUUAUGACUACAGUAUAGUUUACUUUCAUGCACACUAUUUUUCAUUCUAUAGUUAACUUCACAGUAUACAUCUUUUAUAUUUUAUUCUUAUAUUUUUAUUGUUUACUUUUAUUUCACUCUUUCAUAGCUAUAUUUUCAUCUGUGUUGUAUUUUUUUAAAUAAUUACACUGUCCAUGGAGCAGACCUGACUCACGUUUCACUGCUGGUUAUAUACAGUAUGCUCUAUAUAAUUGUGUAUGUGACAAAUAAAAAUCUUGAAUCUUGAA